rnacentral:rRNA from 1 species
UACGUGGGGUGCAAACGUUGCUCGGAAUUAUUGGGCGUAAAGCGCGCGUAGGCGGUUACUCAAGUCGGAUGUGAAAGCCCUCGGCUUAACUGAGGAAGUGCACCCGAAACUGAGUAGCUAGAGUACUAAAGAGGGUCGCGGAAUUCCCGGUGUAGAGGUGAAAUUCGUAGAUAUCGGGAGGAACACCGGUGGCGAAGGCGGCGACCUGGGUAGAUACUGACGCUGAGGCGCGAAAGCGUGGGGAGCAAACAGG